rnacentral:misc_RNA from 1 species
AAGUCGUAACAAGGUUUCCGUAGGUGAACCUGCGGAAGGAUCAUUAACACGUAUCCAACGUUAAACCCCUGUGAACCUUUAUUCGCCGCUCCCAGGCUCAGUCGCGUAAAGUUAGCAAUCCCUGUACUCGUGCGCUAACAACGCCGGGCAUUAAAAAACGUACUAAACAACUGUUAACAAUGGAUAUCUUGGUUCUC